rnacentral:rRNA from 1 species
GACGAACGCUGGCGGCGUGCUUAACACAUGCAAGUCGAACGGAAAGGCCCUGCUUUUGUGGGGUGCUCGAGUGGCGAACGGGUGAGUAACACGUGAGUAACCUGCCCUUGACUUUGGGAUAACUUCAGGAAACUGGGGCUAAUACCGGAUAGGAGCUCCUGCUGCAUGGUGGGGGUUGGAAAGUGUCGGCGGUUGGGGAUGGACUCGCGGCUUAUCAGCUUGUUGGUGGGGUAGUGGCUUACCAAGGCUUUGACGGGUAGCCGGCCUGAGAGGGUGACCGGCCACAUUGGGACUGAGAUACGGCCCAGACUGCUACGGGAGGAAGCAGUGGGGAAUAGUGCACAAUGGGCGGAAGCCGGAUGCAGCAACGCCGCGUGCGGGAUGACGGCCUUCGGGUUGUAAACCGCUUUCGCCUGUGACGAAGCGUGAGUGACGGUAAUGGGUAAAGAAGCAACGGCUAACUACGUG